rnacentral:ncRNA from 1 species
CAUGUAGUGUGGCGCAAAUCGAAAGGUUAGGACGCAAAGCUUUAGAGCCUAAACCGACCGGGCAAAAACCCGGUAGGCAUGGUUGUCAGUUGCCGAA